ensembl:miRNA MIR100 microRNA 100
AACCCGUAGAUCCGAACUUGUGGUGACUGUCCACACAAGCUUGUAUCUAUAGGUAUC